rnacentral:rRNA from 1 species
GAGGGUGCAAGCGUUAUCCGGAUUCACUGGGUUUAAAGGGUGCGUAGGCGGGCAGGUAAGUCAGUGGUGAAAUCCUGGAGCUCAACUCCAGAACUGCCAUUGAUACUAUCUGUCUUGAAUAUUGUGGAGGUAAGCGGAAUAUGUCAUGUAGCGGUGAAAUGCUUAGAUAUGACAUAGAACACCCAUUGCGAAGGCAGCUUACUACGCAUAUAUUGACGCUGAGGCACGAAAGCGUGGGGAUCAAACAGGAUUAGAUACCCUGGUAGUCCACGCCCUAAACGAUGGAUACUCGACAUACGCGAUACACUGUGUGUGUCUGAGCGAAAGCAUUAAGUAUCCCACCUGGGAAGUACGUUCGCAAGAAU